AGUAACGCGUGGGUAACCUGCCUUAUACAGGGGGAUAACAGUCAGAAAUGGCUGCUAAUACCGCAUAAGCGCACAGAGCUGCAUGGCUCAGUGUGAAAAACUCCGGUGGUAUAAGAUGGACCCGCGUUGGAUUAGCUAGUAGGUGAGGUAACGGCUCACCUAGGCGACGAUACAUAGCCGACCUGAGAGGGUGAUCGGCCACACUGGGACUGAGACACGGCCCAGACUCCUACGGGAGGCAGCAUG
rnacentral:rRNA from 1 species